CGCCGAGCAGCCCCCGCCGGUCCAGCCACCCGCCCGCAACUCUGGUUCUAGCACUGCUCGCCCCGGGGCGCCCGCCUCCACCUUCUCUUCCUCACCCGGCGCUGGCUCCGCCUGGCCCCGCCCCGGACACUCACCUGCGCCGGCUCCGGGCUGGGCGCACCGCCGCCUCCCAGCUCUGCGCCGAGUCCACAGCAGAGAGAGAACGCAAAAAGAAUCCUGGUUCGCUGCGGGCCGAUGGACGGAACCCAAGGCGCGCCCGGGCCGCACCGAAGGCGGCGCCCCGCACCUCCACAGCUCGACGCGGGAAGAGGCGGCGCCCGAGCGCGAAGCCCGGCGGGGGAACAAAGAGGAGCCGGGAUGGGGCCGCGCGCUUCCUGGGUGUCGGGUGACAGAACCCAUCGUGCUGAAGAUGUUGGGCGACCAUCUUCGUGCAUCGCCCCUCGGUCUCCUGCUCCCUUCCCACUGUACAAGGCGGAGCUGGGGAGAGGGGUCUGGGAGGCAGGCCACCCACUCCCACCUCCAGCCGGAAGCAGCUCUAUCACCCGCCUUGCUCCGACCCGUCGGGUACCGGUGCUGACCCUGGCUCUGGGCCCCAUGAGAUGCAUAACUAGCACUACCAGUGAGACCGAGCCCCGGCUUCGGGUCCUCCUGCCUCUAGUUACCAGCUGGGCGUUCUUCAGCGCUUUUACUUCCCUUCUCAGAGCCUCGGUUUCCCCGUUUGCAAAAUGGUAGAGUGACUCCCAACUCUCAGAAGGAUAAAGACAAUGCACAUGUGGGCACGUGCCUAUUUCGUAACCCACAGAUCUCCUCAAACUACAGACCCCGAAUUAUCACUGUCACGGACCCUGCACCCCGGCCUGCGGGACACUCUCUCCAUCAGCAUCCUGGUCUCAAGGUGCUCCUCCUUCGGAUCUCACCACCACCAUCCGGCCUCCCUCCAGGCCACGUGUUGGGGGCUCCGGACCUCUGGGGAAGCCGCAGCGCUGUCUUUCGAUCUUGGCCCAGGUCCAGCCAUCGGGGCUUUGUUCUAUUACCACGGGUGUGAUGCGCUUUGGUCGACGCUGGCAGGGAUGUUCGAAACCCAACUAAUCCCCCAACGUUUUUCCAAAAAUGGUGCAUUUGUGAAUUUAUGCGUGUUUUCUUUGAGCAGUGCACGGUCUCUGUACGUUCUCAAAGGCUGGGGAACCCAGAAGUAAUAAACAAAUGAAAGUCGAUCCUGUCAUAGGAAUCUAUCUAGCUUUUAAAAAGAGUGAGGAAAAAAAAUAGUCGUUAUACUGGAAAAUAUCAUGGAUGUUAAGUAAAAAAGGCAAAGGACACUUGGGCUUCUGUUUGUGUAAAAAUACAAACGAGGGGGUGUCUAGGUGUCAGUUAUUUUAUGCGGGCAGAAAGUCUCCGCCUGGAAACGCAAGUCGUAACAAAUAGAAGUGGCUUAGGUGUAGAACGAGGGGCCAGGAGGCCGAGGACUUCUGCUCUACUUCUUUCUGGACUGACUGAAGGGUACAUGUUUACCACUUGCCUGUAUUAAAUUUUCAGUUGAAAAAGAAACUGUAGAAAUCGGUUUAAAAAAAAAAUCCUCUGAUUCAGGAUGCUGAAGCCUGGAGGAGUCAACUAGAGAGGGAGAGCUGAGCGGGAGAGACUGCGAGCAGGGGCGCAGAGGGCAGGGAGGGGCGGGGAGCGCUUCUCGGUUCUCGGCUUCCUCGCCGAUGCAGGUCCAGAGCAAGGGAGACCGUGGGAGGGAAGCUAGCGCCACGGCCGUGCAGCAUUGCAUCUCCUACCUUCCCACCAGCUGAUACCCUGCAGGGUUUGGCCCCGGCAGUAGCCAAAGCUUGAGCACCCAGCCUGGAGGUGCCCUUGACAGGAGUCUGCCGAGGAGUCUGGCGGGGAUAGGGGACUGAGCCCUGGGUGGGGGCUCAACGCGUGGAAUCGCAUACAGCAUCGGUUUCCUCUUCUGCGGGAUGAGCUGAGAACACCCGCGGCACCUCUUUCUGAAGGAUAAGAGGAAGAAGAGGAGCGCACAGCUCCUGGAGAGGAGCCCCGUGGACCAGAGCUUGGCCAGAGCUAGAAACCUAGCUUCCCACUCCCAUCCAAGGCUCGGCAAUGGUUUCAGGGCCUCGGAGCCCGGUAGGUUCCUCCAGAGAUUGUGUCUGCCAUUGGUGGGGGAGGGGUCCAGAAGCCUUCAGCAGAUUAUCCAAAGGUCGGUGACCCAGAUACGGUUUUGGCCACCGGCCAUGUUUCACUUCCUCGGUCCAAGGCAGAAUUUAGCCGAAUACUUUAGCCCCCAAACCAGGCAAACGAUUUUAUUUCUAUUUGGGGAUGCUUCAGUGAGAGUAAGGAUUUCAUUGCCUCAAAUUAAAAUAACCUGCAUUUUUAACCACUUAACACAUACAUUUGUUAGGCACCUUUCCAGGCCUUUCUGAGUCUUAGUUUCUGCAUCUGUAAAUUGGGAGCUUCCCAAGUCAGAGAAUUCUUGGGGGAAUCGAAUAUCCAAAUGUUUUUGCCAGUGCUUUGAAAGCUGCAAACUGUUUGUUCAGGGGACAGUUCUUUUUAGUCCUUCCAAAUUCUAUUUGCAGUCACCACCCAAAUUUGAGAGCUGUUGUCCUCUUAGUUGUCCACCUUUCUUGGUUGAGAAUCGCAGCUUUUGCAGUGCAAGGAACUGUCUUUUCCCAGCUCCCAGGCAGCUGUGGAGAGGGCGAUGCAUUCGUUCGAGUCCCUUCCUGCUUCGCUCCCAGCAGGAAGCGGUUUCCAGCGCGCACCCCCCCACCCCCACGCCUUGUGCCUGCGGUGAGUGCUAUUCUGGUGCGUGCGCUUCCCUCCAGACUUUUCCUGGAUGAGCUGCACCCCGCCAGCCACUCCCGCUCAGGUUCCUCUCAGCCUCUGAAUCUUCACAAGUGUCCCCUCGCUGGCUGUCUGUGUUGGGGCCCAUUUGGUUUGCUGCGCAUCCCCUCUGACUAUAGAGGUUGUCUGAUCUCUUGUUUUGUUUGUUUUCACAGGAGGGGCCAGAGACCCAGCUGGACCUGGAAUUGGGGCCAGAGCCAGUUCUCUGGAUGCCUGCUUAGGGCUUUUCCCCCUGGGCUGAGUUGGACAGAUCCAGCGAGAACUCCCGGAAAAGUGAUUAAGAAAUACCAGGGACCCACCAGGGUUCCCUGCCCAGGAGCUCCCCCUCCCCCUGGAAACACCCAUGUUCCCUAGGUGGGCUUGGGAAUCUAGCGGGGUAGGGGGAGCCUGAAAGGACCUACAGAACCGCACAGAUUUUCCUGGGGACAAACCUGACCAGUAGGUUCAAAGCAGGUGCUGGGAUGCCUGAAAGAGGGUUAGCAUCUCAGGGCCCCUGACUGCAAGGGCCCAGGCUGUCAGCCCAGAUCCCCUCCUGCCUGAGAUGAUGUGGGGGGGUGGGGGUGGAGAGUGGGCUGGUCAGUAAUUCCUAAAUCUCUUCGAUUCUCCUAGUGUCUGCUUUUCACAAAGCUCUACCUAGAACCAGAGUCCAGCACUGGUUCCUGCCCUGUGGGCACCAGUUCAGACCAGCCCUCUUGAGACUGAGCACAGCCGAGGGAGGGGCUGGUCUGGGUGGUGGGAUGCAGUUUAUACAGCGACUGGGAGCCCUGCCCUGAAAGCUGUGGGGUCCUACUCUGUCAAGGAUGUGGAGCUGCUAUGAGCACCCUCAUAGAGCUGGAGCAGGGCUGGGCCCAGCCUCCUUAGGUGGGUUGGACUGGGGGGAUUACCUGCCCCUGCCUUUAGCAGGUAACAUAAAAUGCAAGCUCCAAGAAGGCAACAACCACGUCUGUCUUGUUCACUGCCGUAUCCCCGUACCCAACUCUUGGAAGGCGCUCCAUAAACAUAUGUUUGAGUGAAUAAAUGAGCAAUGGUACGGAGGGCAGCCACAACCAGGGUCCCACAGGAAUCCCCACAGGAAUCCCCCUGCAACACAGUGAGACCCAUCUUGCAGAGGAACUCAGCAGCUGAACGGGGCCAGAUCCUGACCCAGUCUCUCUCUCCAUCACAGCUACCUGCUCCAUAUCCUCCCUUCUGCAAGCAAUGACCAAGGUCAUCUCAAGGGAGGCGGAAACUCCUCAGUGUGACUUCUGGGGCCCUUUUUCUGUUCCCAUUUUCCCAUCUCGUGGGCUUUAGACAAGUCAGUUCCUCCUCUAGGCUUCAGUUUCCUCAUCUGUAAAGAAAACCCUAGAACUACGUCUGCUUUUCCAAGGCUGAUCUAAAUUUGUUAUUCCUUUUUGUUUAUUUUGUUUUGUCUUUUUAGGGCCAAACCUGUGGCAUGGAGAAGUUCCCAGGCUAGGGGUCGAACCAGAGCUGCAGCUGCUGACUUAACACUAUCGCUCACGGCCAACGCAUUUAACCAAAGAGUGAGGCCAGGGAUCAAACCUGCAUCCUCAUGGUUACUAGUUGGAUUUUUUUUUUUUUUUUUUUGGUCUUUUUGCCUUUUCUAGGGCCACUCCCGCAGCAUAUGGAGGUUCCCAGGCUAGGGGUCCAAUCGGAGCUGUAGCCACCGGCCUACGCCAGAGCCACAGCAAUGCGGGAUCCAAGCCGCGUCUGCAACCUACACCACAGCUCAUGGCAAUGCUGGAUCCUUAACCCACUGAGCAGGGCCAGGGAUCAAACCGGCAACCUCAUGGUUCCUAGUUGGAUUCGUUACCACUGAGCCACAACAGGAACUCCCGCUAGUUGGAUUCUUAACCCACUGAGCCACCAUGGGAAUGCCUAAAAAUUCUAUCCUUUUCUCCUUCAUCCCUUCAUUUUUCUUGUUCAAGACACAUGAAGGCAAUGUGCUAUAACCACAGAAAUGGAGGCAGAUGAGCUGGGCUGGACUUGGAUCAGAAGAGCCCUACUGUGCUAGAUAUGAAGCUCCCAGUGUGUCUUGUAUAGUAAGGGGCAGCAGGAGUCCCAGGCUUCUUCCAAACAUCACGUAAACUAACAUACGUUACCCCACGAUGACUUAGGAGCUGAAUCUUCAAGUCCUGGAAUUCUUGGUCAUAAAACAGAUUGGCAUUCAAGGAGCUCACAUUCUCUUUGAGACAAGAAGAUGAAUGCUGGGUAAUGCUCCAACUUCCACUUCAGAGAAACCAAAAUUGGCCUAAAACUCCCCUUCCAGCAGGGACUGGGCGGGAUGCGGUGGUUCCAGAUCCAAGAGCCUCAGCAAACGCAUCCCAACAGUGUUCCUCUUUCUGCCUUACUGACCUGUAGCGCCCCUCUGGGUAUGGGCACGAAGCCCCAUAGGGGGAGACAGGAGGAGUACACGAGCCAGAGCUGGAGAUCUGGGAGCCCCCUCCCACAACACCCCCCGGGAGCGCUGGGAAUCUGC
rnacentral:lncRNA from 9 species